rnacentral:rRNA from 1 species
CACCGCGGUUAUACGAGAGGCCCUAGUUGAUAGACACGGCGUAAAGGGUGGUUAAGGAAAGCAAGAAUAAAGCCGAAGGGCCCCCUGGCCGUUAUACGCUUACGAAGGUCUGAAGCCCAAACACGAAAGUAGCUUUAGCACAAGCCCACCUGACUCCACGAAAGCUGAGAAA